CCUACGGGGGGCUGCAGUGGGGAAUAUUGGACAAUGGGGGGAACCCUGAUCCAGCCAUGCCGCGUGUGUGAAGAAGGCCCUCGGGUUGUAAAGCACUUUCAGUGAGGAAGAACGCCUGGUGGUUAAUACCCAUCAGGAAAGACAUCACUCACAGAAGAAGCACCGGCUAACUCCGUGCCAGCAGCCGCGGUAAUACGGAGGGUGCGAGCGUUAAUCGGAAUUACUGGGCGUAAAGCGCGCGUAGGUGGCUUGAUAAGCCGGUUGUGAAAGCCCCGGGCUCAACCUGGGAACGGCAUCCGGAACUGUCAAGCUAGAGUGCAGGAGAGGAAGGUAGAAUUCCCGGUGUAGCGGUGAAAUGCGUAGAGAUCGGGAGGAAUACCAGUGGCGAAGGCGGCCUUCUGGACUGACACUGACACUGAGGAGCGAAAGCGUGGGUAGCAAACAGGAUUAGAUACCCUUGUAGUC
rnacentral:rRNA from 1 species